GACGACGCUGGCGGAGUGCUUAACACAUGCAAGUAGAACGAGUGGCGAACGGGUGAGUAAUGUCUGGGAAACUGCCUGAUGGAGGGGGAUAACUACUGGAAACGGUAGCUAAUACCGCAUACCAGCGGAUGUGCCCAGAUUGGCUUAGCUAGUGGGUGGGGUAAUGCCUCACCUAGGCGACGAUCCCUAGCUGGUCUGAGAGGAUGACCAGCCACACUGGAACUGCGACACGGUCCAGACUCCUACGGGAGGCAGCAGUGGGGAAUAGUGCACAAUGGGCGCAAGCCUGAUGCAGCCAUGCCGCGUGUGUGAAGAAGGCCUUCGGGUUGUAAAGCACUUUCAGCGAGUAGGCGUUACUCGCAGAAGAAGCACCGGCUAACUCCGUGCCAGCAGCCGCGGUAAUUC
rnacentral:rRNA from 1 species